AAGAAUGAGAACAAUGCAUUCACCUCAAUUUCGACAGAUGCAGCAAAUGCUGUUGCUGCAGACACUUCCUCCACAAGUGUGCAGGAGAACUGGUGUUACGUCUUGUACAGCAUCGUGUAACAAGCAGAUGUGAAAGAAGCUGGAAAGGAAGCAUUUGUGCUCCUGAGCUGACAUGGAUAACCACAGAAGCUGAAUGCUGUAAAGGCUUGAUGGGAUCCUUUUUCUGCUGGCUGUGAGGCAGCCAAGGAUUUAGAGGGUGUAAAGUAAACCAUCAGACUUCUCCAUGCCUGAAAGUCAAUGGAAAGAAACACUUAUUAUUUGUUCUAGAAGAAAUUUUCACAGGAAAGAGCCAUUAGUGUCCUCAGUAACCUAACUCUGGUGCACAGUCCCCCCGCUUCACCAGCCCUGCUCCAAGAAGGCCGGUGCUCCCCUGCUUCAUCCUUGUCCUGCCUGGUGCUCAGCUUUUUACCCUUCUUGAGGACUUUGUGCCAGCAAGCAGCUACCCGAGCAAGCAGGUGAGAAAUGCCAAGAGCAGGGCUGUGGAAGCACCAAGAGCAGAGACCUUGUAGGUCCCACAGCUUUGGGCCUUCCUUGUUUGUCUCCAUAAGCUGCCUCAGGGACAAGUGCUGAGGUUGUUGAGGUUUCCUGUGGUCACUUCCAGCAAAGGGGGGGUGAGUGGGGGGAAUGAGUUUUUCUCUGACUCCAUUAAGGUUGUCUAAUAUGAAAAAUGUGAGCAAUAAGUGCUGCCUUUAGGAAUAGGGGCCUGUUGGGAUCAGACACUUGGGGUGCCUGACCUAUUGAGCCCUCUGGGGUUACCAGAAAACAAACAACUAGCAUAAGAAUAGGGGCAUGUAGGUGAGGCUUAAACAGAUACUGCUGCUAGUCUCUGCCAUGAAAGCAAGAUGAACCAGAAAUUAAUUUAUUGUGGUGGUCCCUUUUGCUAAAAUAUUGUGUUUAAAGUUGCUCCAGUUCCUACAAAAUAUAUUGGGUACUAUACAGCCCAGGGAAAGUCUGAAAUAUAGGCUAUUUAUUUAGAAAAUGGAUGUUGACAGCCUUGCUGCAGUAUAUAAUUCAGUAUUUUCUAGAACAUGGCACAAUUUUAAUAACAGACCAAAACAGACUGAAGUUUCACAGCAUGAAGGCACUCUUUUGUCCCAUAGUAUAUGAGCAUAUGCCCUAACCUGGUAGCUUCUGGUCCUACAAUAAGGAAGGAGGGAUAUCAACACUACAGAUUACACUUGCUUGCAUUUUUGCAGGGGGAGGAUGGACAUGCCUAACUAUCAGAGAUGGGUCUAGCUGGAGGCACCACCCUGCUGCUUGGUGUUUCUUCCUGGUUGCCCUCUUACCUUUAGAUAACUCCUCGUACCCACCCCUUCUCCUCCCACACACACCCACAGGCAUAGCUGUCACCACCGAUCCUGUUUUCAGGCAUCUGCUUUGGGCUUAGGAGAUGUCAGACUCUUCAGACUCCUUUUCUUGAUCUCCUAUCUGUCUGUCCAUCCCCCCUCCAGUCCAACCCUUCCUGGAAGGACAAGAUGGACUUCUGGAGGAGCUCUGAGGCAGGAGCAAGAUGGCGGCUAAUGUGAAAGCUCCCAGAUGUGGUAUGGACAGGCCAACGUUGGCUGGCAGAGCUCGUGAUGGGUCAGCCCCACCAGCCCAUGCUGGUCCUUGCACAGACAGCUUUAACACCUCACUUGACACCUCAGACACCACAGGGAUACAAUAGGCUCCUCAGCACUGUGGGAGCAAGCCUAGUUCACUUAGUUUGCUGAUUCAUUUAAUCAGCCAGUGAGGUUUUCCUUAUUACUUAUGUCUCAGAGAAGGCUCUGAUUGCUGUGCUUCCCACAGCAAAGGUUAUAAGGUUUGCCUUUACGGCUCACGUGUGCUUGGAAUAACACCUGAUGGCAGUGAUUUUCUAAUGGGCAACAGAGAAAGGCCUGUAGGAAUCAGUGCUGAGCAGGAGCUCAGCUGCGGUUCCUUCAGCCUGGACCCUGAGAGACCUACCAACUCCUCCAAGAUAAGGGAUGCAAGCUGGGGAGUAUGCAACUGGAAUCUCUAAAAAUUGAAAAGGUUUUAUGGCUGGCCCUUGCACGACAUUAACACUUACUACAGUUCUAGAUAUGUGGUUGUUAUGCUGUUCCAAUGUCUUCAUGCAAGAUCUUUCCUCCCCAACGUAGCUUUACAAGCUGAUUUUCAUGAGACCAGAAGCAGAUUUGAAAAAGAAGCAUUGGAGUUGAUUUCCAGCACAUAAGAUUCCCACUUUGGAUGCUUGGAAGCCCUGCUCAGCAGUCCCACUGCUCGUAGGAAGCUGCUCCUGAGAGCAAUUACAAAGCCCCCUAAGAGGGAGAUUCACAGAGGGAGAUGUAGAAAUGAGGAAAAGCGCAUUGCCUAACUCUUAAAUGCUUGGAUAUCACCUGGACCAGUUGUGAAACCAUGGUCUGCACCCCAGAAGCCAUUCAGCCUUCGACUACACCUUCUGUGCCAUUUCCAUCCUGGGUUUCGCUGUGCUCAUGGCUGUGGCUGCAGGCGCCGAGCCACCACAUCUCCUGGGACCCAUGGUUAGCCACAAUGCUGCUGGCCUGUCCCGUGCUCACAUCUCCGGGUGUGCACAAGCAGGAUUUAUGCUCCAGUACCCCUGAAAAUCUACUGGGAUUUUGCACCUGAGUUGUUUGUUUCCAACAAUGCAGCUUGAUACAGAAGCAGAGUUUCUGAGCACUGUGUGGUCCACAAGAAAGGCUAUCCAGGGAUCUGAAGAUGCAUCUCUGGUAGUGGUGGGCACCAUUCAGCUGCCUGGUCUCUGGUGUCCAAGGCCAUCUGAGAUGCUGCUGGGCAUUUGACUGACCUUAACUCCUGCUCCUGAACCCCCUCCCUUCAGGCCCCAUGCCAUUUCUGCUGCAGGGAUGGCAAUCUAAAGGCAUUUAUCCCAUCUCACCAAUGUGUGCAUCAUUACCUGAAGUGACAGGCUUUUUCCAGCCAUUCCAGCUGCUGCAAAGAGAAACAGCGUGCUUGCACCUAUGGCUUUCUAGCCACCUGGUUGUGGUAGUCUUCUGCAAGCAUUUCACUGGUUUUCACAUUUUGAAAAUAAAUAACAUGAAGUGUUAAGUCUAAGUCUCCUGUGAGACACCUAACCUACUGCUUCUUCUCUCUUCUUAUUUGAAUUGGUGCUGUAGCACCUCAUUUAUAGACUGUGUUAAAUGUAUUCAUUCCUUUCCAGUUUCUUGAGCUAAAUGAAUUAGAUUCUUAAGUCAUUCCUCAUACCAUAAGUUUUCCUGACCUUGAAUAGUUCUUGGGGCUUUUCUGCAUUUUUUUCUUAUUUUUCUUUCAACUUGAUUUGGAAAAGUGGUCACAGAUGUUGUCUUAGUACUUGUAGUAAUAUCUCCACCUAAUUCCUAGUGCCCUAUUUAUGUGUGCCAGCAUUCUUUUGGUUGAUACAGCUUGCUCAAUUUCAUUUGUUCAGCUACUCACCAGAGUCCCGAAGUAGCCACUUCUUUCUAAAAUGCUUCCUGCUACUAAAGACAGCAUCCACCCAUGGUUCCUUGGUUGAUUAAAAUACACUUAGUUCCCCAAGGAACACAAAUAUCUUGGUAGAAGAUGCUUGGAUUUAAUAUUUUUUCUACUAUUUGCAAGUUUGUCCCAGUUUGAAUUUUAUACUCUCCAGUUAAUUGAAAGAUAACAAAUAAAACUGGGCUGAAACAAUUUGCUACAUCACUCUGCUCGAGACAGCUUAUCUUGGCAGAUCUCAAAAGCUACUGUAAGUGGUGAGCUGUUAAUUACUCAUUUCUGAUCCGUCCGUAUUUACUAAAUUGGCUGUUUCUAAAGCAAUUCUUCAUGGGAAUGGUGCCCAGAAAAAGUCUUGGGUGGGUGUCAGCAUCACCUCGGAUUUUUGUGCUUGUGUUAAAUCAGCCCAGCAUUUCAGAUGGCUUCAGAGCCAUCAAAAAGUGUGAUUUAGAUUUGCUCAUUUCUGGAUUACAAGUUACCUCCUAAUGGCAUCAGAGAAGGGAGGGGAAACUGGUUCACGGGGGCCUUCCCAGGACUUCUCGCUUUUUUUCUAAGGAUAAUAAGCUGCAAGUUCAGCUUCCUCCUCCCGUCAGCACUGUAGCAGCAAUGUAAGAACUGUAACAUCAGUUAUCAUCAGUUUGGCCUUAUUUCCUAAACAAACACAUCCUUUAAAAAUUAAGUAUAUGUGUAUAGAGAAAGCCAAGCUAAAGAGAAAGCCAAUGGUGCAAAAUGGUUAUGAGACUUAGAUAGCUUAAUAAAUAAAUAAAAAGUGAUGCAAAUAUAUAACUUGAAUGCCCAUCUUAUGUUAGUACAGUUAUAUAGGAUGAUAGUUUAAUAUUUUGGCAAGGUCCCAUUUCAGUCUUACCGCCUCCAUGUAUCUGACACAAGUAUGGAAACCGCCACA